GCAACCUGCUGGCAACACCGAGAUUGAAACACAUCACUGAAACUGCUAAACCAAGUUCAUCAUGUCCAUUUAUUGGAAAGCGUACCCAAUCAAGGAUCAAACUAUUGCAAGUCCUGUUAUUCAGUCCAGUUCUCCAUCUGUGCUUGACAAAGGAGACACUGAUGAGAAGAUGAACCCAUUUCUAAAGAACUUUGGGUUCCCUUCUCCGGAUAAUGAAAAGGCCUUUCUUGAGAUCCAGCCUCUUAGUCUUGAAGCUUGUGAGGUUCCACUGCAUUCAAGUCCUCAAUCUGUUCUGGACAUGGCGCUCCGUUAUAAGGACGCUGUUAAAGGCAUGCAAGACCUUUCUUUGGAUGACGACACAGAUUUAAACCGCGUUUCCAGAUUUAAAACAUUUGAAAAGAAAACCAGAAGUGCCAAAAACAUGAGGUUCCCUCCACUGGGUGAAGACACCAAGUCAAGAAAGCUUCCCACAAUGCUGCCUCCACGUUUUGAGGAUGUGCUACAUAUGGGAGACGAUCGUGUGAAACAACCAGACUUGACCAACAUUAGGUUUUCUGCUCCAGCUUUGAAGCGCUUAAUGUCCAUCAAGAUCAAUUUACUAUAAAA